rnacentral:rRNA from 1 species
AACGAACGCUGGCGGCGCGUCUUAAACAUGCAAGUCGAACGAUCUGUAGCAAUACAGGGAGUGGCGGACGGGUGAGGAACACGUAGGAAUCUACCUUGAAGAGCGGGACAACUUUGGGAAACCGGGGCUAAUACCGCAUAGUACAGAGAUGUUAAAGGGCUAGCAAUAGUCGCUUCGAGAUGAGCCUGCGGUCUAUCAGCUUGUUGGUGAGGUAAUGGCUCACCAAGGCUACGACGGAUAGCCGGUCUGAGAGGAUGGUCGGCCACACUGGCACUGAGACACGGGCCAGACUCCUACGGGAGGCAGCAGUUAAGAAUCUUGCGCAAUGGGGGAAACCCUGACGCAGCGACGCCGCGUGAAGGAUGAAGGCUUUCGGGUUGUAAACUUCGGUAGACUGGGAAGAAGAAAUAACGUUCGUUGAGGGCGUAUAGUGACGGUACCAGUCUGAAGCCCGGCUAAUUACGUGCCAGCAGCCGCGGUAAU